rnacentral:rRNA from 1 species
CACGUAGGGCGCAAGCGUUGUCCGGAAUUAUUGGGCGUAAAGGGCGCGUAGGCGGCUCAUGAAGGCUGUGGUGAAAGUCCGGGGCUCAACCUCGGAUCGGCCGUGGCGACUCGUGGGCUGGAGCACUGUAGAGGCGGGUGGAAUUCCGGGUGUAGCGGUGGAAUGCGUAGAGAUCCGGAAGAACACCCGUGGCGAAGGCGGCUCUCUGGAACGCAACUGACGCUGAGACGCGAAAGCGUGGGGAGCAAACAGG